rnacentral:rRNA from 1 species
GGUUAAGCGACUAAGCGUACACGGUGGAUGCCCUGGCAGUCAGAGGCGAUGAAGGACGUGCUAAUCUGCGAUAAGCGUCGGUGAGGUGAUAUGAACCGUUAUAACCGGCGAUUUCCGAAUGGGGAAACCCAGUGUGUUUCGACACACUAUCAUUAACUGAAUCCAUAGGUUAAUGAGGCGAACCGGGGGAACUGAAACAUCUAAGUACCCCGAGGAAAAGAAAUCAACCGAGAUUCCCCCAGUAGCGGCGAGCGAACGGGGAGGAGCCCAGAGCCUGAAUCAGUGUGUGUGUUAGUGGAAGCGUCUGGAAAGGCGCGCGAUACAGGGUGACAGCCCCGUACACAAAAAUGCACAUAUUGUGAGCUCGAUGAGUAGGGCGGGACACGUGGUAUCCUGUCUGAAUAUGGGGGGACCAUCCUCCAAGGCUAAAUACUCCUGACUGACCGAUAGUGAACCAGUACCGUGAGGGAAAGGCGAAAAGAACCCCGGCGAGGGGAGUGAAAAAGAACCUGAAACCGUGUACGUACAAGCAGUGGGAGCCUCUUAAUGGGGUGACUGCGUACCUUUUGUAUAAUGGGUCAGCGACUUAUAUUCUGUAGCAAGGUUAACCGAAUAGGGGAGCCGAAGGGAAACCGAGUCUUAACUGGGCGUUAAGUUGCAGGGUAUAGACCCGAAACCCGGUGAUCUAGCCAUGGGCAGGUUGAAGGUUGGGUAACACUAACUGGAGGACCGAACCGACUAAUGUUGAAAAAUUAGCGGAUGACUUGUGGCUGGGGGUGAAAGGCCAAUCAAACCGGGAGAUAGCUGGUUCUCCCCGAAAGCUAUUUAGGUAGCGCCUCGUGAAUUCAUCUCCGGGGGUAGAGCACUGUUUCGGCAAGGGGGUCAUCCCGACUUACCAACCCGAUGCAAACUGCGAAUACCGGAGAAUGUUAUCACGGGAGACACACGGCGGGUGCUAACGUCCGUCGUGAAGAGGGAAACAACCCAGACCGCCAGCUAAGGUCCCAAAGUCAUGGUUAAGUGGGAAACGAUGUGGGAAGGCCCAGACAGCCAGGAUGUUGGCUUAGAAGCAGCCAUCAUUUAAAGAAAGCGUAAUAGCUCACUGGUCGAGUCGGCCUGCGCGGAAGAUGUAACGGGGCUAAACCAUGCACCGAAGCUGCGGCAGCGACGCUUAUGCGUUGUUGGGUAGGGGAGCGUUCUGUAAGCCUGUGAAGGUGUGCUGUGAGGCAUGCUGGAGGUAUCAGAAGUGCGAAUGCUGACAUAAGUAACGAUAAAGCGGGUGAAAAGCCCGCUCGCCGGAAGACCAAGGGUUCCUGUCCAACGUUAAUCGGGGCAGGGUGAGUCGACCCCUAAGGCGAGGCCGAAAGGCGUAGUCGAUGGGAAACAGGUUAAUAUUCCUGUACUUGGUGUUACUGCGAAGGGGGGACGGAGAAGGCUAUGUUGGCCGGGCGACGGUUGUCCCGGUUUAAGCGUGUAGGCUGGUUUUCCAGGCAAAUCCGGAAAACCAAGGCUGAGGCGUGAUGACGAGGCACUACGGUGCUGAAGCGACAAAUGCCCUGCUUCCAGGAAAAGCCUCUAAGCAUCAGGUAACAUCAAAUCGUACCCCAAACCGACACAGGUGGUCAGGUAGAGAAUACCAAGGCGCUUGAGAGAACUCGGGUGAAGGAACUAGGCAAAAUGGUGCCGUAACUUCGGGAGAAGGCACGCUGAUAUGUAGGUGAAGCGACUUGCUCGUGGAGCUGAAAUCAGUCGAAGAUACCAGCUGGCUGCAACUGUUUAUUAAAAACACAGCACUGUGCAAACACGAAAGUGGACGUAUACGGUGUGACGCCUGCCCGGUGCCGGAAGGUUAAUUGAUGGGGUUAGCGGUAACGCGAAGCUCUUGAUCGAAGCCCCGGUAAACGGCGGCCGUAACUAUAACGGUCCUAAGGUAGCGAAAUUCCUUGUCGGGUAAGUUCCGACCUGCACGAAUGGCGUAAUGAUGGCCAGGCUGUCUCCACCCGAGACUCAGUGAAAUUGAACUCGCUGUGAAGAUGCAGUGUACCCGCGGCAAGACGGAAAGACCCCGUGAACCUUUACUAUAGCUUGACACUGAACAUUGAGCCUUGAUGUGUAGGAUAGGUGGGAGGCUUUGAAGUGUGGACGCCAGUCUGCAUGGAGCCGACCUUGAAAUACCACCCUU